GCCAGAGAAAAGACAAGAGACGCCUAACCCAAACCCUAGCCGCAUCCCACCCACGACCGGCCGGCAAUCCAUGGCGCUGCGCAACCUGGCCAAGAAGUUGCGGAUCCCCACCUCUGCUGCUGCCCGGCUCCCGUCCGCCCCCAACCCUGCUGAUUUCCGGUUCCCAUCGGACCCUGGCGCUUGGCGGGCGUCCGUUUCUCGGCUCGAGAGCGCUAGAGACUGGUAUGAGUUUCAGCGAGCACGUUAUGAUGAUGUGACAACAGAGUUAAAAAACUUCAGGCGUGAGGUUGUGUGGACUGAAAGGGCGGCUAACCUGUUUGAUUUGGUUUAUAAGGUGGGUUGUCCUAUUGUCGUUGGUACUUUGGUCAUAAAAGUGAUUGUCUAUCGGGCCAUGUGAUGGGUUAAUGGCCAUCUGCUGUGCGAACAUGAAGUUUCUGCCCCCGAGCUCAUAUGCUCCCUUGUGAACGGUAAAAUGAAAUAAAAAAAUCAGAAAAAAUCAAACAUUGACGAAUACUCAACAUGCGUGCAAUUUUCCAUGAAGAAAUAACAUUCCAAAAUGCUUCUGUAAAAUGAAAUAGUCGAUUUGGAGCAUCGAUUUUGUUUCUUAUAGGAGCAUCUUGGAAAAAAAAUCUCAAUGAACUUUGCACGCAUGUAGAAAAUUCGUCAAUGUUUGUUGACAAAAAAAUUCUGAUUUUUUUUAAUUUUGUUUACUACUGUCAUUGAGGAUGCAUAUAAGCUCGAGAGCAGAAGGCUCAUUGGCACAGAUGCAUGUGCGCUCGUUGUGGCAAGUGGCAAGUGGCAAGAGCAGAUAACCAUGUAGAAAUAAUUGAUUGUUGUAUAUAUGUCUUGCUUUGUUGUGUCAUGGACCAGUGGCUAUGACUUUAUGUAAUUGUGUAUAAGCAUACUUUCUCGUAAUGUUUGUUGCUUUUGUUGGAUUGUUGAAGAAUGCUGC
rnacentral:rRNA from 1 species